GGAUAUGAGGGUGAUCUGGCUGCGACAUCUGUCACCCCACUGACCACCAGGGUUGAUUUCACUGAUCUGGCUGGCUAGGUGAGUGUCCCCUUCCUCCCUCACUGCUCCACGUGCGUCCUUCACCAAGCUGCGCACUCGGGCGAAGAGGACUACUAUCCCCAACAGAGGAGGACCGUCCUUCUCAGUCAAGGGUAUGUGAGUAGCUGUGCUCCCCUGCUGGCACCUCCAAACAAGCUCUCAAGACAAGGGCCAUCCAGCAGAGUUUACUGAUAAAAUGAAAGUGGUAUAUACAGGAAUGU
ensembl:misc_RNA 7SK 7SK RNA